rnacentral:rRNA from 1 species
UACGUAGGGUGCAAGCGUUAUCCGGAAUUAUUGGGCGUAAAGAGCUCGUAGGCGGUUUGUCGCGUCUGCUGUGAAAACUGGGGGCUCAACCCCCAGCCUGCAGUGGGUACGGGCAGACUAGAGUGCGGUAGGGGAGACUGGAAUUCCUGGUGUAGCGGUGGAAUGCGCAGAUAUCAGGAGGAACACCGAUGGCGAAGGCAGGUCUCUGGGCCAUUACUGACACUGGAGAAGCGAAAAGCAUGGGGAGCGAACAGGG